UAUAAAGUCAUCCUCCCCUUGAUUUUUAAUUUCCACAUGAACAUUUGCAUAACUGCAACAAUAAAUGAAUAAAAUAAACUAAGAAAUUGUCUUUAAAAAUUCACUUUUGCAAACUUUAGAAGCAUACCCCAAUAUCUGAAAUGCAGUAAAAUGCAUCUUGAAAAAACGAAAAAGCUUAAAUCAGCUACGUGUUAUUCACAAACUUAGAUUUUUUCUUUUUUUUUUCUUUUAAAUAACAAAAGGUUAUGGAACAAUGUGAUAUAUUUUCAUAAAACUCGCUUUCAAGUACUCUAUGCUAAUGGGGGAAAAAAAUCAGACUUUGCAAAACCCAACCAGGCAACAGCCUCAAAGCCAAGUAUACAAAAAAAUGAAAAAAAAAGUACCAGAGAGAGCAGCCAGCCAAAAAGGGCUUCAAAAGAUUUAAUAUCCUCUUUUGAAUCCUUUAUGUGCUUUUAUAUUUAUUUUAUUUUAUUUUUUGUUAAAAGGUGUAGUUGGUGGGAUGUUCUUCACUUCUUCUCUUCUAGCUUCUCUGUUUUCCUGGGUGAAGGAGGGACGCUGCUUUCAGUUUGUAGGGCCAUAGGUGCGAUCAGAAUUGAAACAGGACCGUUCUGUUUAAUUUUCUUACAAAAAUUUCACUUAUACUUUAAAAUUAUUAGUAAAAUUAAAAACAUGAGUGAAAAGGAAAAUAUUUUGAGUUUAAAACCUAUAUAUAUAUAUAUAUAUAUUCAAUUAAGUAUUUUUGAGUUUAUUAAAUUUUUUCUCUUGUAGUUUAUUUUUAAAAACACGAGUGAAAUAGGAAAACAUUUUGAGUUUAUUUUUAGAAUAUAAAUAUUUUCAAUUAAGAAUUCUUUUUUUUUUUAAACUCGGGUGAAGGGGGAAAAUAAACUACAAGGUUUUAUAAAACAUUUUAUCUCUUUCAACAAGUUAUUAUAUUCCAGCCCUAAUCCCCUUUUCAAAUCAAAUCUCUCUCUACGCCCAUACGGUGCUUCAUCGGCUUUCAAUGGUGUUCAUCGCCUUUCUUCGGCAAGGCCCCUCUCUCUCGCUCUUAGGAAUUUGCAAAAGAUUAAAUUCAAUGAUAAAAUCGAUGCCUUCCGUUGGAUGAUUUGUCUGUCAAUCUUCUGUACCAAAAUUUAUCUAGUGUCUAUAUUUUCCAGUAUUAUAUUAAGUUCCAUUAACAAUUAAUUACUAGUGAAGUGCAAUUUACUGAUCCAUUUAUAAUUUUAUGACUAAAUCUGUUAUGUAUAGUGUGGUCACUAUUUUUUACAUGUUGUAGUCAUAUCAUGCUGUACGCCAUGGCAUGUUCUCGUGUCCCAUCUUUUCAAGAGAAUGUUUGGUAUAUCUGGUAAAUCUCAAUAUAUUUAGUGUGCAGUGUGUUCUGCCGACUCUUAUUUUGUUUCA